rnacentral:lncRNA from 12 species
CAGUUAAGUGUGUUUUCUAUUCCAAAGGAUUCACAACCUGUUCCUACAGGGGAUAAGCCUAAGUUGGGAAAAGAUGACCAGCAGAAAGCUACAGAGGCAAAAACUGAUCCAACCACAUUCUCCAGCACAGGUGAAGAGAAGGGUAGUAUUGGGUCUGGAUAUCCUGGCCCCGAAGGUGACCGUGGGUCUCCAGGACCUACUGGUCCACCUGGACCAGCUGGACCCCAGAGUCCAGUAACAGAAGUGAUAACCGCAGAGGAUAUAAAGGUGGAGAGGGUACAGGGUCUAAUGGGCCCACCAGGUCCAAAGGGCCCACAGGGGGAGCCAGGUGAACCAGGGCAGGACGGCAAACCUGGCCCUGAAGGACCUCGAGGUUUUCAAGGACCACCUGGUACUACAGGACCUAAAGGACAGAAGGGAGAGAAAGGGGAAGGACAUUCAGGCCCUAGAGGCCCACCUGGGCCACCUGGACCUCCUGGACCCUCAAUCUCAGACAGGACUGUGAGUAUGAAUACAUCUAGUACAGGUCUACUGUAUGUGCUUGGAGCUAAAAUGUGCAUACAGUAG